GAGUAAGUGAACAAGGGCGUACGGGGGAUGCCUAGGCUCUCAGAGGCGAAGAAGGACGUGCCAAGCUGCGAAAAGCCGCGGGGACCUGCAAGGGGGUUUGAUCCGCGGAUGUCCGAAUGGGGCAACCCAUCCACAGCGAUGUGGAUAUUCCGAAAAGGAAGGCGAACGUGGGGAACUGAAACAUCUAAGUACCCACAGGAAGAGAAAACAACAGUGAUUCCGUGAGUAGUGGCGAGCGAAAGCGGAACAGCCCAAACCGUGCAUGUUACGGCAUGCGCGGGGUUAUAGGACCUGCAGGAUUGUAUUGAAUGUGACCGGAACACAGUGGGAACUGUGGCCAUAGCGGGUGAGAGCCCCUUACGGGAAGCAUGAGAUACGAGGCGGGUAUCCUGAGUAGGCCGGGACAGGAGAAAUCCCGGUUGAAUUUGCCGGCACCAUCCGGUAAGGCUAAAUACUCCUGAGAGACCGAUAGUGAACAAGUACCGUGAGGGAAAGGUGAAAAGUACCGUGAAUAACGGGGUGAAAUAGAACCUGAAACCGUGCGCCUACAAGCGGUCGGAGCGGAGCGAUUCCGUGACGGCGUGCCUUUUGCAUAAUGAGCCUACGAGUUACUCCUCACUGGCGAGGUUAAGUGCAUGGAUGCACGCAGCCGGAGCGAAAGCGAGUCUGAACAGGGCGCUUAGUCAGUGGGGGUAGACGCGAAACUUUGUGAUCUACCCAUGGACAGGUUGAAGCGGCGGUAAGACGCCGUGGAGGACCGAACCGAUAAGCGUUGAAAAGCUUCCGGAUGAUCUGUGGGUAGGGGUGAAAGGCCAAUCAAACUGAGAAAUAGCUCGUACUCCCCGAAAUGUUUUUAGGAACAGCGUCGUGGAAUGUAUGGCGGAGGUAGAGCUACCGAUAGGACUAGGGGGAGUCAUAUCCUACCAAAUCCUGACGAACUCCGAAUGCCGCCAUACAGUAACGGCAGUGAGGGCUUGGGUGCUAAGGUCCGAGUCCGAGAGGGAAAGAACCCAGACCUACCGCUAAGGUCCCGAAAUCCACACUAAGUUGAACAAAGGUGGUCCAGCUGCUUAGACAGCCAGGAGGUUAGCUUGGAAGCAGCUAUUCCUUUAAAGAGUGCGUAACAGCUCACUGGUCGAGCGGCAGGGCGUCGAUAAUAAACGGGCAUCAAGUGUGGUACCGAAGCGUAGGAUUUACGGCAACGUAUAAUGGUAGGGGAGCAUUCCAACGGCGGUGAAUGUGCAUGGCGAUGUGCACUGGAGCUUUUGGAAAAGCAAAUGUAGGCAUAAGUAACGAUAAUGCGGGUGGGAAACCCGCACACCGAUAGACCAAGGUUUCCUGAUCAAUGCUAAUCAGAUCAGGGUCAGUCGGGACCUAAGGCGCACCCGAAAGGGACAGCCGAUGGACAACAGGUGAAUAUUCCUGUACCGCGCGUAUGAUAAAAGCGACGUAGGGGUGUACCCGGUGCGCACUGACGGAAUAGUGCGUUGAACCACAUGAGAGUGUGGGAUAGUACACGGAGGCCUCGGCCGAAGUGAUAAUCCGGGGAAGCAACUUCCAAGAAAAGCGAAUACGCGUGCCCGUACCGCAAACCGACACAGGUGGUCAAGGAGAGGAUCCUGAGGUGCUCGAGUGAAUCAUGGCUAAGGAACUCGGCAAAAUGGCCCUGUAACUUCGGGAGAAGGGGCGCCUACCCUCACUUCGGUGAGGGAGGCCGCAGUGAAAAGGCCCAGGCGACUGUUUAGCAAAAACACAUGGCUUUGCGAACUCGAAAGAGGAAGUAUAAGGCCUGACACCUGCCCGGUGCCGGAAGGUUAAGAGGGGAGCUCAGCGCAAGCGAAGGUUUGAAUCGAAGCCCCGGUAAACGGCGGCCGUAACUAUAACGGUCCUAAGGUAGCGAAAUUC
rnacentral:rRNA from 1 species